UGUUCACGUUAUAAUCGCGAUUUACGAGGUUUGUUAAUGUCUUUUCUAUAAUGUCACAUUCUCAUAUAUUCUAUUUGCUUGAUUCUUGUAUUUUGCCUUUUCGAUCACUUGUAGGUCUGGCAGGUUUUUUUGGUUUAGGGCGCAGGGGGGGAAAAUAUUUGUUCCUCGUUUGUCUUGCAGUUAAUUUGGAAUUUCUAGCUCAGUUUGUAAAGCCCUUUGAUUUUGAGGCCCGGCUUAAUGGAUGAUAAACAAGAAGUUCUUCUGAUUGGGGGACUACCAGAUCGUGCCUCAUGACUAUGGAUCAUGCCAGUAGCAGCAGAGCGUAUCCACGGCUCCACUCCAAACCUUCACUAUUAAGUUGUAACUCAUAAGCUCUCUCUUCUAAAUCGGCCAUCUGGUGAUCCCCCAGUUCUUCUUUAUAUGAAUUAUAUAUAUAAGUCUCUCAGAUAACUUUGUAUGUGGAUUCAAUAGACCAGUUUCAGGUGUUAGAUUAUCUUCUUUUGAACUGAUAAGUAUACUAGGGGUUCACUGACUUCUUGUUUGUGUGUGUGUGCUGUACAGUUCUAUGGGAUUUUUAUUUGCUAUAUUUUUUAGCUUUUAGCUUCUGGUAUUCAUGGCCAUAGCUUCUUGGUUCCUUAUCACAGGUGUCCGUCUAGGUGGUAGAAUGCUUACUAAGUUAAAUUUUGUAAUGAACUGCAAUUAAAAUUCCAGUAUUAAAAAAUAUAUAAAGAAGCUCGAGUAUGAUCAAAGGUAGAUAGUAAGAUUAUGUUCUUGUGCAUAUGUCAACAUCUUAGCUCCACAUUAUUACGAUUUGAUAUAGACAGUAAUAAUGUACCCUGUAAUGCUCUAUGAAUAGAGCAUCUUGUGUGCAUUCAAUACCCGAACAAAGUUCUGGGUAAAAUGAGUAAAUAGCUGGAACAAUUAAAAUAAUGAUAUCUCAUUCUUCAGCUAGCCUGUUGUUUAACAUCCAUGGCUAUUGAAAUCAAACAAAUGUCACCUCCGACGAGGAAAGAAAGUGAUCAUUGAGGAGAAUUUUUAUAUAUGUUAUUAAUUAGUUGAUAUAGAUCUAGUGUAAAGGUAAAAGUAGGGAUUUAUUUAUAUGUUCUAAUUCAGGGGUUAGUAGUUUUUUAAGUAGGUUAUUAAUAACAAGCCAAGUUGUUUAUAGGUCUCAGGUUAUGUUUAAAGGGUUCGUAUUUCCUAUAUGUAACCCUCAAAUUAGUUUAGACUUAAUUACUGGAAUAGUACUGAGUUAUUGAAUCGAGUCUCUUCUUGGGUUGGCAAUCAUAAUUCUUGUCCCUCCAUCGGUUAGAGAUCCUUGGAUAGCUGAUUAUCUGUGGUUUAUCCACCCAAGUUUUCUUUUUUAUCGUUGUAAUAUCUUAUAUUCUCUUCCAUAGUCUGCCCUGCAUCAAACACUCUGUUGUUUUACUUGAUGAGCCACUUGCGUGUCUUUGUAUUAUCAGUAAAUAGACACCUGGUAAUAUUGAAUGCUAUUUUGUAGAAACUAUCUCCAUCUACUUUUUUUUUUUUUUAACUGUAUUUCAUUCAAGUAUUCAACUAACAUGAUUUGAUCAUUAUAAAUUAUCCUUCUUCAGUUUUGAUCAACCAUGUGUUUAUAUGUAUCAUUUUUUCUAAUUUAUAUUUUGUCUGGAAUCAGAAUUCUAAAUGAAUUCAAUCAUCUUAAAAUGGAAAUUUCAUUUAUGCUAAAAUCAAAAUCUUUUGAUCAUCAAAUUCAUGGCGAGCUGCAGAUUGUUACUGCGUUUACUGUUCUUUUGCUGCUGAUACUGUGUUUACUGUUUGUCGUUGUAAUAUAUUAUCUUCACUCUUCAGUAGUUAGUACAUGUUACUUCUAUAUUGCUUUUCUGGUUACUGGUAAAAUCCUUUGUUAUCUAUCACUUAAAGUGUGGUAAGUUUUUCCUUUCCGGGGCACAGCAAUAGCUUCUUGAGGUUUUUUACAGUUAUAUUAGUAUUUUCAACAGUCAGCCCGUCUAGCUCAGUUGGUAGAGCGCAAGGCUCUUAACCUUGUGGUCGUGGGUUCGAGCCCCACGGUGGGCGACUUUUUGGACAUGGAAUCCGAAUUAGGCAAAACUGUAAAAGUAUGGUAAAAAUUCAAAACUACACCUGUCUGGUACUGAUUAACCUUACCUGCUGAUCUCUGUUUUAUUCUAAGCUUCUUGAUCUUCGUUCUAAGCAAACUCGCAGGGGACGACCCACUUUGGACAUGGGAGCCGUUUAUGGUAAAACCAUAAAAGUUUAGUGCAAAUUCAAGACUAUACCCAUCUGGUACUGAUUUACCUUAGCUGCUGAUCUUUGGUUUAUUUAAGCAUGAGUAUGCAGUAUAGAGCCGAUUAUCUACCUCUGUUCUCUUCUUUAAACUUUGUUGAUUAAGCCUGCAUGCUGAUAUUAAUUUGUGUUCUAAGAAACGUGUAUACAAUCUCAGUCGGGCAUAUCAAAUUACCAAAUUUAUCUAUUAAUUCUAGUAUACUUUCUACCUGUUUUCUUUGAAAUUGAAAUUGAAAUUGAAAUUGAAAUUGAAAUUGAAAUGGUUGGUUAGAUCUUUCUUUUCUCUCCUUAUAAUCGAAAUGGUUGGUUAGAAGUUGUACUUGUACAUCAAAGUUUUAUCUGUGCUAGAUCCUCAUUUUAUUGCUGAAUGACCUUUGAAUAGUGGCCAAGUACUGAGGUGAUAGAGUUAUAUACUGGCCACGCAUGAAUGUUCCUUUUAUCUUUCCAAAUUUGAGAAUUGGCAUCGGCAGAGUUGGAAAGGAAUUUUUUCAGGUCACGGUAGAAAUAAGCAUUAAAAAUCAUUCUACUUAUGCAUUGAUCUUAUCAUCUAGUUCCACACUAUUAAAAUCUUUCACAAUAUUAUUUGUCGUCUUCACUACUAACAAGUGAAAUCAUCACAUUUCACAUAUUCUUAUCUCUUCUCUAGAUAAAUAAUACUUGUUAUCUCUUGGAAGGAUGACCAUAAGAAAUGAAGAUGAGAUAUAAUUAACAAGUGAGAGGAGAAUCCUAAUUCUUACUGUUUUCGUGAGCAUAUAUAAUCUCUUGGAGAAACAUCAUUCUUGAUGCUUCCCUUCUGACCCCAACUCAAUAGAUAAGUAGUUGAUGAACAGGAAGCUUGUGUGAUUGGGAGACACCCAGAUUGUAACAGACUUUAGAGUUUGGAUCAUCACAGUAGCAGCAGAUUUCAUCUGCCGUUUCAGGUGUUUGAUUUAGCUUUCCGGGAACCAAUGAACAUAGUAUGUUUUCACUGACUUCUUGAUUUUGUGUGUUUGCGAGUUGUUUUAUAAUUUUUGUUAAUUAUAAACUUAGUUUUUAGCUUCUGGUAUAUAUAUAUAUGAUCAUAGCUUCCUGGUUCCUUAUUACAGGUCUCCAUUUAUACAGUAAAAUGCUUACUGUAGGUUAAUUUAUGUUAUGGACUGCAGUAGAAUGCUCGAGUUAGAUGGAUACUUAAAUUAUGUGCCUCUUGUGCAAAUGAAAAAAAUCUCCAGUUCCUCAUUCUUCGGCCCAUAGAUGAUUAAUAGUAUUAAACGAAUGUCACGUCUCUUUAGUUCUUUACAAUAAGCCACUUGUAUUUGCUUGUAAUAUCGCAGAAUUGACACCUAGACCUGGUACUCUUUUGUGCUAUCUUGUCUUCCUUUUCUUGUAUUAUGCUUAGCUACUAUCCCUCUUGUUAAAUUUCUAUUUUUCUGCAGACUGCAGCCUACUUUUAGGCUUAAAGGUUGCUACCACUUUUUAUGAAAUUUUAACAUCCUGCCCGUCUAGCUCAGUUGGUAGAGCGCAAGGCUCUUAACCUUGUGGUCGUGGGUUCGAGCCCCACGGUGGGCGGCCUUCGGUUUGUUUUUUUUUUUUGAUGAGGUUUUAUUUUGUUGCAUUAUGGUGUAUAUAUGCUAUUAAUUCACUUUGAUAAAUUUCCUCUAAU